UUUUUGUGUGCGGUUUGUGUGGUACGUGAAAAAUUUUUCCGUUUCGUGUUGGUGGAUAGCGGAAAAAAGAAAAUCUGUUAAAUUAGUGAAUUAGUAGAAAAUGGAAUAAAUAAAACAAUUUUUUUAAGUGAAAAGUGCAACAUUUUUGCGUUUCAAAAUGUACUCUAAAUGGUUGAACAAAUUUAAUUGAUACUGAUAAAUUUUUUUAUAUACACACGUUUCUGUAAGCGAGGACAAUUCAGUACCGUGAAUUUUAGAUUUAUCAACAAACUGUCAACAAAAAGAUUUUCAAUAUCACCAGCGUCAACACAAAAUAUAGCAAAAUUACAAAGAAUUCGAACCAAACCUUAGGGUCAAGGGGCAACGCCGCAUAUAAGCAAUGAGUAUACCAUCAAAGGAAACCAAACAAUACAUAAACAAAAGAACAGCGAAGAAGAACAACAACACAUGACUGCAACAAAAUCGAAAUUUCCAACAACGACGACGACGAGGACGAGAACGCGAAUGCGAACGAGUACGACGACAUAAAGGUCACCGAAGCCGUCAAAAACAACAAAUCAA
rnacentral:lncRNA from 1 species